AUUGAACGCUGGCGGCAUGCCUUACACAUGCAAGUCGAGCGCGAAAGGGGGCAACCCCGAGUAGAGCGGCGGACGGGUGAGUAACGCAUCGGAACGUGCCCAGUAGUGGGGGACAACCUCGAGAAAUCGAGGCUAAUACCGCAUACGACCCACGGGUGAAAGCGGGGGACCGCAAGGCCUCGCGCUAUUGGAGCGGCCGAUGUCCGAUUAGCUAGUUGGCGGGGUAAGAGCCCACCAAGGCGACGAUCGGUAGCUGGUCUGAGAGGACGACCAGCCACACUGGGACUGAGACACGGCCCAGACUCCUACGGGAGGCAGCAGUGGGGAAUUUUGGACAAGUGGGGGCAACCCUGAUCCAGCCAUGCCGCGUGCGGGAAGAAGGCC
rnacentral:rRNA from 1 species